UACGGAGGGUGCGAGCGUUGUCCGGAAUCACUGGGCGUAAAGGGCGCGUAGGCGGCCUGAUAAGUAGGGGGUGAAAUCCUGCGGCUUAACCGCAGGGCUGCCUUCUAAACUGUCAGGCUAGAGCACAGUAGAGGCAGGUGGAAUUCCCGGUGUAGCGGUGGAAUGCGUAGAGAUCGGGAAGAACACCCGUGGCGAAGGCGGUUCUCUGGGACGGUACUGACGCUGAGACGCGAAAGCGUGGGGAGCGAACAGG
rnacentral:rRNA from 1 species